rnacentral:misc_RNA from 1 species
UCCGGUUUGUCACCGGCAGUCUCCUUAGAGUUCCCGACAUUACUCGCUGGCAACUAAGGACAAGGGUUGCGCUCGUUACGGGACUUAACCCAACAUCUCACGACACGAGCUGACGACAGCCAUGCAGCACCUGUCUCUCGGUUCCCGAAGGCACCAAUCCAUCUCUGGAAAGUUCCGAGGAUGUCAAGGCCAGGUAAGGUUCUUCGCGUUGCAUCGAAUUAAACCACAUGCUCCACCGCUUGUGCGGGCCCCCGUCAAUUCAUUUGAGUUAUAGCCUUGCGGCCGUACUCCCCAGGCGGUCGACUUAUCGCGCUAACUGCGCCACUAAACUCUUUAAUGAGCCCAACGGCUGGUCGACAUCGUUUAGGGCGUGGACUAC